rnacentral:lncRNA from 1 species
AGAACCCCAAGGAAUCAUUUUUUGUUAAAAUCAAACUAAGUUUAAUUUUGGACCCUUUGGACCUUAAUGUAGACCAAUUUGAAAACGGGACCAAAAAUUAAGAUCUACAUACACAGUUAGAUUCGGCAUAUCAAAGAACCCCAAUUAUUCAAUUUUUGAUGAAAUCAAACAAAGUUUAAUUUUGGACCCUUUGGGCCCCUUAUUCCUAAACUGUUGGGACCAAAACUCACAAAAUCAAUCCCAACCUUCCUUUUAUG